rnacentral:lncRNA from 1 species
AUUUUUAAUAUGUAACACUUUUUUAAUGUAUCAACACUCGAUAAAAAUUCACUAACCAAAUUUUACAUCGUGUUGACAUUUUAAAAAUUCACGGUGAAUAUUUAUUUAAAUAUUUAACUACACUAAAUUUUAUAUUGCUAUAGUUUUUAUAUCGUAAAUAAAAACAACAAUAGGAACUAACACAAAGUAUUAUAUAUAAAUAUCUACCAAACUCCAGCCGCUUAAGACUCAAAAUACAUCAUUACUUGUUCCUACUGCACACCCCCUGCUCUAGUUUUUGCCCAACGUCCAGCCAAUUAACACAUUGUGUUUUUUUGUUUCAAGACCUAUGUUAAAGCAUAUUUCUCCGUAUGUGGUUUUGAUAAUUGAUAGCAGUCCCUAUGAACUAAUGGUUGUCUUAAGUUAUAUUCGAAGGAUUUGUUCAUGGCCACUUCUUGAAGUCUAUCUAUUGGUUUUAAAGAGUUUAUAUGAUGAACAAGGGGUUAUUCAAGAUUUUAUCCAAAGAUUGGUCAUAAAGACACAAGGUUGAUUAAGACUAAGUCAAAGAGUGAAUCUAGUUAAUCAACACACAAAGCAUACAAGAUGUACCGAGAGGGAUCAUGUUAUCUCAUUGUAUGGUAAGCAUUGUCCAUUACGUUUUGUGUACUAACUCAUGGUCUUCAUGAGAGUUCUAUGUGGGGUUAGUUGUGUUUUCAUGGGCUUGCGUCAAGAGGAAUAUCUCAUUCAACCAAUGAAAGAUUACGGUGUGAAAGUUUAAGUGGAGCAUCACGAAGAGAUCAUGCUUGAAGCUUGCCAUCCAUUUUGGUGACAAUGGACUUGUGAAGAUGUGCCAAAGAAUGGCUCACCCGCAAUGAUUAUGGGAGAGCAAUCAACUAGUCUUCAUCGAGCCAACACGAUCAAAAAAGAUGGUCCACAUUGAGGAAGUCAAGAUCGUCAUCAUCUAGCUCAAGUGGACUAUGUGAAGGUAUAGGCUUGUCCUUGAUAGGUUUUCUAUUUUACGAGUCUCAUGGUGGUAGUUGGGAGACUGGGUUGUAGGAUAGAUUAUCGUACUAUCAAGAAGGGCUCUCAAGGGAGUAGCUUGAUCAUAUUGUUCGUUGAGAGCUCAAACAUUUGCAUCCUUGCAUCAUCUUUCUUGGUUCUUGUUUGGUGUUUCUCUUUGUGAGUUCUUGAGCUUAUGGUCAUCUUUAUGACAAGUUUGAGUUCACCGAAAACAGAGUUCAUGUGGAUCUUCUAUGAUGUUUUCGAUGUUGGAGUUUUUGCAAGUUCUUCAUUCAUAGAGGUUUCACAUCUCUAUAUCAUUGG